rnacentral:rRNA from 1 species
AGAGUUUGAUCAUGGCUCAGGAUGAACGCUGGCGGUAUGCCUAACACAUGCAAGUCGAACGAUGUCUUCGGACAUAGUGGCGGACGGGUGAGUAACGCGUGAGAAUCUGCCUCUAGGAUGGGGAUAACGGUUGGAAACGACCGCUAACACCCAAUAUGCCGUAAGGUGAAAAAUUUAUUGCCUGGAGAGGAGCUCGCGUCUGAUUAGCUAGUUGGUGGGGUAAGAGCUCACCAAGGCUUCGAUCAGUAGCUGGUCUGAGAGGAUGAGCAGCCACACUGGGACUGAGACACGGCCCAGACUCCUACGGGAGGCAGCAGUGGGGAAUUUUCCGCAAUGGGCGAAAGCCUGACGGAGCAAUACCGCGUGAGGGAGGAAUGCCUUUGGGUUGUAAACCUCUUUUCUCAGGGAAGAAGAUCUGACGGUACCUGAGGAAUAAGUAUCGGCUAACUCCGUGCCAGCAGCCGCGGUAAUACGGAGGAUGCAAGCGUUAUCCGGAAUCAUUGGGCGUAAAGCGUCCGCAGGUGGUUUCCAAAGUCUGCUGUUAAAGACUGGAGCUCAACUCCGGAACGGCGGUGGAAACUUGGAAACUAGAGUUCGGUAGGGGUAGCAGGAAUUCCCAGUGUAGCGGUGAAAUGCGUAGAUAUUGGGAAGAACAUCGGUGGCGAAGGCGUGCUACUGGACCGUAACUGACACUCAGGGACGAAAGCUAGGGGAGCGAAAGGGAUUAGAUACCCCUGUAGUCCUAGCUGUAAACGAUGGAAACUAGGUGUGGCUUGUAUCGACCCGAGCCGUGCCGUAGCUAACGCGUUAAGUUUCCCGCCUGGGGAGUACGCACGC